CCUACGGUGGGCAGCAGUGGGGAAUAUUGCACAAUGGGGGAAACCCUGAUGCAGCGACGCCGCGUGAGUGAAGAAGUAUUUCGGUAUGUACAGCCCUAUCAGCAGGGAAGAAAAGGACGGUACCUGAGUAAGAAGCCCCGGCUAACUACGUGCCCGAAGCCGCGGUAAUACGGAGGGGGCAAGCGUUAUACGGAUUUACGGGGGGGAAAGGGAGCGGAGACGGCAGUCCAGGUCUGGAGUGAAAUGCCGGGGCUUAACCCCGGAACUGCGGUGGAAACUGGGAAGCUAGAGUGCAGGAGAGGUACGUGGAAUUCGUAGUGUAGCGGUGAAAUGCGUAGAUAUUAGGAGGAACACCAGUGGCGAAGGCGGCUUACUGGACUGUAACUGACGUUGAGGCUCGAAAGCGUGGGGAGCAAACAGGAUUAGAUACCCGUGUAGUC
rnacentral:rRNA from 1 species